CUCCUCUGGGCCCCUCCAGGCCCCCAGGCCCUGGCCGGCGGUGUACUGGGGGGGCCCGGGGAUGGGCAGUAGGCUCUGUCCUGCAGACUCAGAGCCCUCCGUGCGGGUGCCCACUGCCCAGGUCCAAGCUCGGAAGCGGCAGCGAACCUUGCUCUCCACCCCCAACCCCAUCUCCGCGACCUGAUGGCGGUGGCCUCCCUCAGGUGCUUCUUGUGCAUGGCAGGAUCUCCAGCCUGACCCUCCACGGCCUAAGCGGAGCCCCCGCCAAGCCACCGUGACCAGCCCCUGGAGGAGACCAGCCCCUGGGGCCGCCCUGCCUUGAGGGAUGGGCAUGGCGGGCGAGAUGAAUGGUGGCCACUGGAAUGCGCAGAGGGAGGCCGUUAGGGCCUGGGAGGCCCAGAGGGGGGUCUGCGUGGACACAGCUCGCCCACCCUCAGGGCUGGAAGCGGCGCAGAUGGGCGCCUGGGAUGACUCCUCCGUCCCAGGGCGAGGAGACCUCACCUCGUCUGGACCACGAUGGACAAAGGCCUUCAUGGGCCGAAGAAAAGAGGCAUCUUGGACAUGGAGCUGUUGAACCAUCUCAGAAAUGGACAUCAGGACUUGUUCAUACCGAGGGGUGUGUGUGGAUGUGUUCAUACUCAGAUUGUGGUGAUAACCACUGAUGUGCAUGCAUCUCUUUAGACUGCUAUAGGAAUAUGUUGUUAAGUACUUCCAUCAAAACUUGCCACCUUGCUAAUAUUUUAAAGUAUAAAUCAUAAUUCUCUUAGAAGCAUUAUACUUUGUGUACUCUUGCUUUGGGUCUCAUUUUUAAUGGAACAUGAAGGGAACACAUUAUUUUAAUUAUAAAUUUGUGAAUAUCUUUUAUUUAGGGGUUUGUUGCUAUUUUUGUCCUUUAUGAAAUUUUUGUCACCAAGUAAGGCAGGAUUACAUUUUCUUCCAGAUUGAGUUGAUAUUGGGUAUUCUUGCUUAUCAAAAUACUCAUAGCUUUGGGACUUUGAAAUGGUAAAUAUUCAUGAUGUGUGAGAAAGCAUGAUACAUAACUGUACCAUCUUAAUUACAUAAAAAUGAAAGCUUAGUGUGUAGAUACACAGGACUUAGAAGGACACGUCAGAUUGUAAACUGCUUGUGAUUAUGGAUGGCUAAGUUCUUUGGUUGUGUUUUUCAGUUUCCUAUAUAUGCACAUGUUAACUUUAAAAAAAUAAAUGUUACUUUAAAAGCUUAAAAAAAAAGAAAAGAAAAAGAAA